AUACUCACCUUGGUAGCACAUACACCAAAAUUGGAACAAUACACAGAUUAGCAUGACCCUUGCACAAGAGUGACAUACAAAUUUAUGAAGUGUUUUAUAUUAAA
ensembl:snRNA U6 U6 spliceosomal RNA